GUACCAAGGCGAUGAUGCAUAGCCGAGUUGAGAGACUGAUCGGCCACAUUGGGACGUGAGACACGGCCCAAACUCCCUACGGGAGGCAGCAGUAGGGAAUCUUCCACAAUGGACGCAAGUCUGAUGGAGCAACGCCGCGUGAGUGAAGAAGGUUUUCGGAUCGUAAAGCUCUGUUGUUGGUGAAGAAGGAUAGAGGUAGUAACUGGCCUUUAUUUGACGGUAAUCAACCAGAAAGUCACGGCUAACUACGUGCCAGCAGCCGCGGUAAU
rnacentral:rRNA from 1 species